rnacentral:rRNA from 1 species
GUGGGGAAUCUUAGACAAUGGGGGCAACCCUGAUCUAGCCAUGCCGCGUGAGUGAUGAAGGCCUUAGGGUCGUAAAGCUCUUUCGCUGGGGAAGAUAAUGACGGUACCCAGUAAAGAAACCCCGGCUAACUCCGUACCAGCAGCCGCGGUAAUACGGAGGGGGUUAGCGUUGUUCGGAAUUACUGGGCGUAAAGCGCGCGUAGGCGGAUUGGAAAGUUGGGGGUGAAAUCCCGGGGCUCAACCCUGGAAUGGCCUUUGAAACUCCUGAUCUUGAGGUCGAGAGAGGUGAGUGGAAUUCCGAGUGUAGAGGUGAAAUUCGUAGAUAUUCGGAGGAACACCAGUGGCGAAGGCGGCUCACUGGCUCGAUACUGACGCUGAGGUGCGAAAGCGUGGGGAGCAAACAGGAUUAGAAACCCGGGUAGUCC